AAACUACUAUUUUAAGUAGUUAACUACAGUAGUUAGGUUACUGAAGGCGCCAACUACUUCCGAUUUUGCCGCAAGCUUUACGGCACGAUUGUGCUUCCGACUUUUACCUCGAGCUACUUGUUUGAUGAGAACGGAGGUGCAGAGCAAUUGUGUCGUGCAUGUAUACUAAAUCUUCACUUGUAAUGCUUGUCUAGUAAAGCCUCAGUUGCUGUGAAAUAAUUCUGCAACUGAGUUUAUCGCGUAGGCACAGAAAGAAUCUCGCCGCAAGCUUUGUAUUUGGCGAUCGUAGCAAUGGCUUGAGCCAAACUUUAUCAUUGCUUGUGAUUCAUACUUAGGUGUCCAAGAACACUACGAGGAAUUGGUGUUGAUGGACAACGUUAAGUAGUUAUAGAUGUAGUUAAACUACAUUGCAGUAGUUAAAGAAGUAGUUUUAACUACUCCCCUGAAAAGUAGUUGAACUACUAGUUAAACUACUCAAUCUCGAAGUAGUUAGUAGUUAUAGUUAAACUACUGUAGAAGUAGUUAGUGGCCAUCACUGCUUUUCGGAUCACGUGGAGAAGGAGUGAGAGGGUGCAUUAAGCGGGCCUUCGUUGUCUUGGUGACGUUAAACAUGUUCCACGAAUGCUUUCACGGUAUCUUAAAAGGUACCGGAAACCAGUAGAUGUGCGAUCUCUGAAGAUUCAUCUAUAUAUAUUUUUUUAAAAUUCCGUGUUAUAGCGCCGCGAAGCAACUGUGGCUAUAUGAGCUGCGUACAGACGUGGACAGAUGGAGAGAGGACAGAAGGAAGGAGUGGGGGACAGGGGGGAAAGGCUCAUCAAAGGAUAGCCUGAGCCCUCAGAACUCCUUACUAUACAAAUUUUCGUCCCCGUUGGACUCGUAGUCUUUUUGUUUCUGUUUCUUUUUGUAGAAAAUUAUAAUUGAGAAUUACGGUCAACACUGCAUGCAAGUACUCAUCAAAUAAGCAUUGUUCGUCAACUGAGGCGGGAAUCUACAUUGCAUGCGGACAACACUGGGUCUAAAACGAAAGAAGCUGGCUACGUAGCCAUCAGGAGCAGAGAGUCAGUCGGGGAACAUAGAUCUAUGUUGCUCGAUGAAUUGGUGAUUUACUUGCCCUUGGCGAAAUCGACAUCCCUGCUGCGUCUCUUUAAUCUAUGCAGGAAAGAUUAUAUGAGAGUUUUCCACAGUCGACGAACUACAAACCCGGGUCUGGUAUGGAGCGGUCUUUCUGGGCCCGUGCGGGUAAAUCGCCCUGCCGGUGUGCUUCUUGUUUUCGGAAUAAAGACUAUUCAUAAUGUAUAAAACAAUCCAGGCCCAGGCCCGGUGCCGAACAGGUAUGGGUGGCCCGAACCAGGGCCGGGCUGGCGGGUUUGGCCCAUGUCACUCGCUGGUACACCUUACGGAACUGCCCCCUAAAAGGCUCCAACCCUGUUCUACGCACAUAAAGUUUUAUCGCUUUUAGUACGCUUCACCGAACAGGCUAGUUUUUAACCUUGUUUAACCUUUAUUCGAGCACAAUUCCUGCCCACGAAGAAAACAGAAUUGUUCUGCCCUUUCCACCCUAGUGCACUCGCACUUUCAGCACACUGUGCUGCUUCGGCAGGAAUAGUUUUAGGAGUUUUAGUAUACCGUUGAUAAGGUUAUCGUUUCUAUGGGAACCAAUCGUAGUCGCGCGUGACUCAGAAUCUUAUCCACUGAUUGGAUCCGGUUGAUACGGUUUGACGCAAGCCACGUUAUCAACGGUCUGCUAAAACUCCCUAAUAUCACUCGCGCUACGGUAUUCCCGCAUUUUAUCGAACGGUCGCGCCGAAAAGAAAAGUGUUUUCCAAGUGAGAUAACAUAGUGUGCUUGCACAAGUGGCAGGGAGACGUAUAAAGGACCAGGCUCGCCGCGACAGAUUACAACUGUUUUUGCAGCCACCGUGCGAUCACUGCGAAGGGAUAUAACUAUCUGUUGACAGCAGCAGAGAAACAAGGGGGCAUUGGCAUACUUGAACCUGUUCCGUACAGGUGACAGCCAUGACCAAAGUGCACGUCACCGCCCUUGUGCAACGUCACGUCGCGCGUACCUUCAACUUGGGCCUCCUACUCAUAAUCAUCGGUGUCGUACCCCUCUUCUUGAGCCAGAGCUCCAAGGUGCACACCCCUUAUCUCUUCACCACCGGCGUCGGCCUAGUCACCUCUGGCACCAUACUCUUCACGCUGUCGGCGCUCCUGAUGCUCCUCGUGAAAAUCACGCCCGGAGCCAGCGGAGGACCAGAGGACCUUCCCGCGUGCUACGAGCAGCAAAUAUGGACGAUACCCGUCGACUCGCCUCCGAGCUACGAAGAAGCGUUAAGCAUGUCUCAAAGCCGGCAUGUGUGUGCAGAUCAUAGUCAGGGACGGACCGUUGUGCUCAGUGUACCAGGACAGGUGAGCGUUGACACCGGUGCAUCAGCAGUGCUCCUUGAACAUGGUGGUGCCAGAGACGCUGUUCUUCCUCAACAGCGUUGCUCAGACUGUUGAGAGACGCUUCCGAAGCGUGCGAGUGUGCCUUCGACAGAAGAAGUGUAUAAGUGCAAAGUGCGAGUUCGCUAGACUGAAGGACAAAGCAGUCGGUGAUGUCGCCAAGGCUGAAGUGACGUGGAAUUCGUUUGGAACCGCUACAGUAUUACUAUUCACCUUCAGCAGUCAACUUGGCCAGCGUGUCGUGAAUGAACGUGUAAACUGCGUGUAAGUUCGUGUACAAUGACUGUGUUCUUGUUGCUGCUGCAUUUUGUUCCAAGAACGAUGGGCAAAAUGAACUUCAUCCCAUCAGAACCGUCCAGUGUCACUACCGAUGCGCACUGUUGAAAUAGUGCAUGGUGUACAUGCGCCAGUGAAAGCGACAUUUUGAUCGGAGACAAGCUACGUAGAUGAAAAGGCGGCAAAGCUGCCUAAUCGAUAUCUGCGUUAAAUGACCAUUUACCUCGGGCCGCGGAAACGUGUCCAGGUGUCGUGAACAUCGACGAUGUUGCCUAGAUCUGUAAAUUCACCUAAUGCAAUCUCAUAAAAAGUUUCUCUAUUUA